GUUGUUGCGGGAUCUCACAGGCUUUAAACCGCGGCGCCGCGGCGCCCGGGUGUGGAUCCCUAGAUGGGAGCCGGGGAUGGGCCGGGUGCCUGGUGGGUGGCAGUCGGGGCUGACGGCGGCGGCACUUUGCCGCCUCAGGCCCUGGACACCUUCACCCCGCCGCCUGCCCAGGCGGGCCGGCCCUGCCCGUCCACCGGCCGCCGAGAGUCCCCGGCCUUGGGUCCCCGGGGCCGCUGACUGGCCUCGGUCACCUCCCGGGGAAGGCUCCCGCGCCUCCAUCUGCCCCCGCAGGAAGGGACCCUCUUCUCGCCCGCGAGGCUUCUCCGGGUGGGAUCGUCCUGGCCCCCAGCCCUAAGGGAUCCGCCCCCUCCGAGCAUCCGCCGCCCCUCGGAGACCACUCCAGCUCGGACGGACCCACUCCAGCCCCCGCUGCACGCGGAAGCGCUCAUCCUCCCCGCCUGCCCCGUUCCCUCCCCCUUCUCCUGUGGGACAACCAGGGACCGCAGCUCCCCGCUCCCCAGGUGUGGGGGCUCCGACACGAACGCCUCUGCUCGCAGGGCGGUGAGCGCAGAUCCCACGGGUCCCUCGGUCGGGGGUCGAGGCUGCUUCCGUUUCCAUCCCGGACCCGACAAUGGGCGGGAAAAAGAAGGCUUUACACGACUACGCGGCGGAGUUCACCGACCUGGUGGUGAAGCACCUGAUUGAGCACAGUGACUCUGGGGACACGUCUGUGGUGGAGACCCUUUACUGCAGGGCCUGCGAGCUGCCCGUGCGCGUGCGGAGGGACCGCAUCCUGGAACACCUGUCCUCGGGCAGGCAGCACGGCCUGCGGACGCCCAUUCUCAUGUAAAUGUCAGUGCCAACGCUGGUGUUUCAGGAGUCAUCCCAGCGGGCUGCGGGCUAUUUUAGGAUUCUCUGCCCUGCAAACGUUUCCAAAGUACGUGGACAGGCCGCCUGAUGACACUACGUUUACGGGAUCUGCUAGUGGCUUGCCUACUUAGGGAGUAAACCCUGUGAAGUCUCGCAGUUUUGUUAAAGUGUGCGUGGCCACCUGAAUGCUGCCUUAUCACAAGCCAGAUACAUACUGGUCUGUAGGGUAACUCCCCACUGUUGAUCCUCUGAGAUGAUUGUGGACUGGGUGCUGUGAGUCCUGCCACUUUGUUUAAGUGAAUGUGUCUUUUGUCCAGCUCAGCCGCCUCGGAUCUCGCUGCCACCAGCCUUACUGCACACCCGUGCCACCCGCCCUUGCCCCGUCAGCCUCAGCCUCAGCUCAUUCUCUCAGGCAGUCCCAGCAUUGGCACGGUACCUCCUCCCGCUGUGGGCCACACGUCUCUGCUCCCUGUCAACCCUCCUGCCAUCAGCACCACCACCAGCGACUUGUCUGCCCGGGAGGAUGCAACACCAUCUGCCUCCACCGGCCACCUUUCAGUGUUUCCUGCUUUCCAAGUAAAGAUACCAGCAGUGCCCUCAGAGCAGACCAGCCAGAGUUUUUCUGAAGCCUCCCACAGGGUGCUCCCCGGAGGAGGCCCGAGAUGCUCUCGUGACUUUGGAGCCGGGGUGGCUGGCCACCUUGGCCUGGGCAUCUUUGGGGUGGGCUUCGGGAGCCCGGCACUGCUGCAGAGUGUGGUGGAUGAGAACAGCUGCUGCUUGCUGUACGUGGUGGAGGACCAGCUGUGUGAUGUGGAGCAAGCCUUCAGAGCUGAGCAUUUGGGCCAACACCAGAGUGGUUCGGGAACAGGAUGCAGACAUUGUCCUCAACGACCAGCGGCACUUUGAUCCGGUUUUCCAGUUCUUGCACAAGCAAGUUUGUGUCAGCCACGCCCUGGGGAGGAUCCACUGGAUCACCGCCGUCACUGCCUGUUCCCGGCGGCCUCUCCGGCUUCCCUAAAGAGAGCAGGUGGGACUUUCUACAACGCUGCUGUGCACGACGUGGAUGCCGUAUGCAUGUUGCUGGGGGAAGCCACUCCGGACACUGUGUUUUCUCUGGGACAUGUCUUCUGCCCAGAUAUGGCCGCCUUAAAAGAUGCAGAUGCUGUUGUGAUCAGCAUGAAGUUUCCCUGUGAGGCCGUGGUUAGCGUGGACAUCAGCCAGCACUGCACAGACAGCUGCGACCAGGACGUCAGCCAGCACUGCACAGACAGCUGCGACCAGAGACUGGAGGUGACCCUUGCCCUUUUCCACCCUUCGCCAGUCCACUGUGAAAAGCUGGGUUGAUUGUGCGGGUUAGAUAGAGGUCAUCAGCCGGGUUGAUUGUGUGGGUUAGACAGAGGUCAUCAGCCAGGUUGAUUGUGUGGGUUAGAUAGAGAUCAUCAGCCUGGUAGAUUGUGUGGGUUAGAUAGAGGUCAUCAGCCAGGUUGAUUGUGCGGGUUAGAUAGAGAUCAUCAGCCGGGUUGAUUCUACAGGUUAGAUAGAGGUCGUCAGCCGGGUUGAUUGUGCGGGUUAGAUAGAGAUCAUCAGCCGGGUUGAUUGUGCGGGUUAGAUAGAGGUCAUCAGCUGGGUUGAUUGUGUGGGUUAGAUAGAGAUCAUCAGCUGGGUUGAUUGUGUGGGUUAGAUAGAGGUCAUCAGCUGGGUUGAUUGUGUGGGUUAGAUAGAGGUCAUCAGCUGGGUUGAUUGUAUGGGUUAGAUAGAGGUCAUCAGCUGGGUUGAUUGUACGGGUUAGAUAGAGGUCGUCAGCCGGGUUGAUUCCGCAGGUUAGAUAGAGGUCGUUAGCUGGGUGUGUGGGUCCCAAGGCGUGCUGCAGAUGGAGAAUCAGAAUUCCUUGGGCAUCACCGGGCGGGGCAUGUCCCUGUCCCUUCGCUCCCAGACCCAGGCUAGCCGCUACCAGGACUCCUAUCGAGAGCUCUUCAGACACUUUGUCAGAACCCUUAAAGGUGGGUGACGUUUUCAGGAGGAACCUGGGAUGUCCUGAUGCUCAAUGGGUAGAUGCCUUCCAGGCUGCAGUCAGUGCAGAUGAUAUGCCAAUUUCAGGUGGAAAAUUGCAUUCCAGAUACCGGGUUCAGAUUUGAAAUUGUCCAUCUCAGUGAUCAUUUACGUUGCGUGUACUUGAGGGAGAUUCUGAGAGAUGCUCCUUUGGGGUUCUGUGCGUGUACCAUGUUGCCUGACACGUCCUGAGAAAUCUUCUUAAACUCUGAGUUUAUAAAAUAACUACUUCUGAACUCCUGAGAUCUAGUGGAUACCAUGUAUCCUGGAAGAUAGGACACUUUCUACCCUCUGUCAGUCCUGGGGGUGACUGGGAACCAGAGAGGUUGAGCAGAAUUCCUGGACCUGGGUGGGGCUUGUCCAAGAGGGGCAGGUGGGCCUCUCUAGGAUCAGUGUCCCACCCAGAGGCCAGUGGCCCCUUCACAUGCCCCAACAAGAGGAAGACUGUCUGGCUCCGCAGUGUUGGGUUUUGUCCUGAAUCUGUGCAAAUGUGCAGGGAAAUAACCUCCUGAAAUCACCAAAGAGCAGUUCCUCAGGGCCUUCCGGGUGACCGUGGCCGUGGAGCAGUCGUGGUGAAACCGGUCAGCUGUGGACCUGCCCUGCGAAUCGGCAGAGGCCUCCGUGGUGAAGACAGAAGCUCCGUGAACCAACUCGAGGCUGGAGCCAAGAUCCUGCCUGAUAUCCAGUUGCCUGUUUCACUUGUUACUGUUACUGGGAGAGGGAGACAAAACCUCAUGGCAAUCUUGUCCUCACUGGAGACUCAGAAGGGGAAGCAUUGGGAAACCAUGUAUGUUUCAUUUCUGGUUUAACCAGGCUUUUCAGGAUGGGACUUCAGACCAAGGACACAAGUUGGGCUUGCUUAGGUGUUUUGUGUUGUGCGCAGGCCUCAGAGAUGCUCUUCCGGUCAGAGUUCCCUUGGCAGGGCCUUGGAGGCCUCUGGUUGGCUCUCUCAGGAAGAGGGCAGGUCAGGGAUUGGGCGGUGUAAAUUGACUCAGAAACCUGCGGUUUCAGCUUUUCUGUGGCAAACAGGGCCGAGGGCUGGUGAAGCUGUUAAGGCUAAAUGUCGCAUGCAUGAGGCGGGCUGCAGGCCUCCUUAGGCCUUUUUUGGGGUAAUUACACCAGUAUUUAAAAACAUUUUUUUUUGUUUGUUUUGAGAUGGAGUCUUGCCCUGUCACCCAGGCUGGAGUGCAAUGGUGCGAUCUCGGCUCACUGCAACCUCCGUCUCCCAGGUUCAAGCGAUUCUUCUGCCUCAGCCUUCUGAGUAGCUGGGAUUACACGCGUGUGCCACCACGCUCGGCUAAUUUUUGUAUUUUUAGUAGAGAUGGGAUUUCACCAUGUUGGCCAGGCUGGUCUCGAACUACUGACCUCGUGAUCCACCUGCCAUGGCCUCCCAAAGUGCUGGGAUUACAGGCGUGAGCCACCAUGCUCGGCCUAAAAAACAAUUUUCUUGAAGAAUCCGAUUUUGUGCAUAGUAAUGACACAGCACCAUUCCUGAGAAAUAGGAAAUAUAUGUGUGUGGUAUGAAAAGCCCAUAUUCUGUUCUUGUCACCUGAAUCUAGGCUUCCUCUUUGGAUGUGAACGCGGGAAUGAACAGUGGCUGUUUUCCACCCAAAGGGGCGUGGAGACCUUUUGGAAACGGGCUUUCUCCUUUCCAUUUUGCAGCCGGGGGCGGGUGGAAACCUUCCUUCGAAGGGUAGUGCCUUGGGGAGCAGCAGACCUGCUCUGAGUCCAGCUUAGCUUUCCAAAAUUCUGUGUGGAACUUACUGGAGAUGUUUUUAUAUAUUUGAAAAUAAUGGCCUGUAUUUCUCACGCUAUACUUAAAAAAAAUAACUAACCUUUUAAACAAAGAUAUUCAAACUCACCCUUGUGCUGAAAGCACUCACAUUUCUGUGUUCAUUCCUGAAAGGGCGUUUUAGAGUCCCCGUUUCUACGUUCUAUGUGGCACCCUCUUGCCGAGGGAACAUCCAGAAUCCCUCCACUUCCUGUCUAGUUUGAGGCCUCAACACCUUCAUGAUCCAGAGUCCUGCGGCUAUGAGGGGGUGGGCCCACCACCGCCCAGCCCUCCUUGGUGGACGUGGGGACAGGUAGGAGCCUAGGGAAAGGGGUGGGCGGGCUCUGGUGUGACGGCGUGAGCGCUAGCCAGGAAGAUGGGGCCAGGGCUUGGCAUGGCACCUCACCUGUGGGGGAACUCGGCGGAGCUUCCUGGCGGCAUCUCCCCCUCUUGCCUUGGUCCUUUCUAUCUUUGUUUUAGGCCAAUUUCUAAAAAGACUGAGGCCUCCUUCAAGGUUGAACAGAUUUCUAGAGCCUUGUUUUUGCUGUGACAAGUCCCUAGUCCCUGUUCACAACUCUGAAACCAAGAAACCUGAGAACCAAGAGAACUGAAAUGAAGCCCGUUGGUCUCAGCCUGGCUUGAGCCAACAUGAGGCUCUCUGCUGCCUUUUGUUUUCUUAGGUUUUGCUGAGAAACGGGAGUGCGUUCUGUGUCGGUGUUUGUGACGCCCUGAGACCCUGCUUGGCCUAGCUAAAGUCCAGAAGGCCUGGGCCCCACAGGGCUUGGAUGAGGGCUCAUGGGCCUGUACUUCAGGAGGCCUGAGAGGCCCGGUCAGUCCCAUGAGGCUACUCGGCUUGGCCCGCAGGUCCUCCGAGGCACAGGGCAGAGGGACACCCCAGGGACCCAUCAGACUCACGACACAGAGAAACUCAAGUGGGGUGCCAGGGCCGGCCACAGAGGCCACGGGCUUCCUGCCUGUGAGGAGCCGCCCUGUUUGUCUGAGCCCUUUGGAGAUUUAGGUUGAGUCAUGAGAACCGGUCAUUGGAACAUACACUUUAUUAUGUUACAAAAACAAAAAUCCCCACUGAAACACAGCUAAAAAAAUAACACAUUUUCCCAAGAUUACAUUACCAAAAACAGUUGUUAUGUCAUUGGAGGGCGUCCAUUAAUACUGCUCGGAGAAGCACGAUCUUACACGAAAAACACGGAUGGGAUUUCGUUUUCACCUUAAAGCAUUAAAGUGCUUUAACUGGUAA
rnacentral:lncRNA from 1 species